UCAGCAAGGCCCCGGUAAUUCCAGCUCCAAUAGCGUAUAUUAAAGUUGUUGUGGUUAAAAAGCUCGUAGUUGAACCUUGGGCCUGGCUGGCCGGUCCGCCUCACCGCGUGCACUGGUCCGGCCGGGCCUUUCCCUCUGCGGAACCCCAUGCCCUUCACUGGGUGUGGCGGGGAAACAGGACUUUUACUUUGAAAAAAUUAGAGUGCUCAAGGCAGGCCUAUGCUCGAAUACAUUAGCAUGGAAUAAUAGAAUAGGACGUGUGGUUCUAUUUUGUUGGUUUCUAGGACCGCCGUAAUGAUUAAUAGGGACAGUCGGGGGCAUCAGUAUUCAAUUGUCAGAGGUGAAAUUCUUGGAUUUAUUGAAGACUAACUACUGCGAAAGCAUUUGCCAAGGAUGUUUUCAUUAAUCAGGAACGAAAGUUAGGGGAUCGAAGACGAUCAGAUACCGUCGUAGUCUUAACCAUAAACUAUGCCGACUAGGGAUCGGACGAUGUUACAUUUUUGACGCGUUCGGCACCUUACGAGAAAUCAAAGUGCUUGGGCUCCAGGGGGAGUAUGGUCGCAAGGCUGAAACUUAAAGAAAUUGACGGAAGGGCACCACCAGGGGUGGAGCCUGCGGCUUAAUUUGCUCCAACCCCGCGGGAA
rnacentral:rRNA from 1 species